rnacentral:rRNA from 1 species
GUGCCAGCAGCCGCGGUAAUACGUAGGACGCGAGCGUUAUCCGGAUUUAUUGGGUUUAAAGGGUGCGUAGGCGGACCUAUAAGUCAGUGGUGAAAGACUGUUGCUUAACGAUAGCAUUGCCAUUGAUACUGUAGGUCUUGAGUACAGUUGAGGUAGGCGGAAUGUGUAGUGUAGCGGUGAAAUGCUUAGAUAUUACACAGAACACCGAUUGCGGAGGCAGCUUACUAAGCUGUAACUGACGCUGAUGCACGAAAGCGUGGGGAUCAAACAGGAUUAGAUACCCUCGUAGUCC